rfam:Cricetulus griseus cell line CHO-K1, whole genome shotgun sequence.
UGGCUCAGUAGUUAAGAGCACUGGCUGCUCUUCCAGAGGACCUGGGUUCAAUUCCCAG